rnacentral:rRNA from 1 species
CCUACGGGAGGCAGCAGUGGGGAAUAUUGCACAAUGGGGGAAACCCUGAUGCAGCGACGCCGCGUGAGUGAAGAAGUAUCUCGGUACGUAAAGCUCUAUCAGCAGGGAAGAUAAUGACGGUACCUGACCAAGAAGCCCCGGCUAACUACGUGCCAGAAGACGCGGGAAUACGUAGGGGGCAAGCGUGGUUCGGAAUGACUGGGCGUAAAGGGUGUGUAGGGGGUUUGAGAAGUGAGAUGUGUAAUACCCAGGGCGUAACUCGGGUGCUGCAUCUAAAACUGUUAGACUUGAGUACUGGAGAGGAUAGUGGAAUUCCUAGUGGAGCGGUGGAAUGCGUAGAUAUCUGGAGGAACAUCAGUGGCGAAGGCGACUAUCUGGCACAUAACUGACGCUGAGGAGCGAAAGCGUGGGUAGCAAACAGGAUUAGAUACCCGAGUAGUC